AAUAGGAGUGGACAUCUAUAUGGGCUUCAUGUGAUUCGAAGCCAACCACUAUGUAUUGCAAGAAAGUCCUAUGUGUACCUAUGUAUACCUAAUGAAAGCCAACAAGAGCCUCUUAACACUUACCUGCCUAAACCAAGCAAGAUUCAAGAAUAAAUCCAUUACCAGCAAGAUACGAUACGGCUUAGCCAAAAAAGGUGAGCGCCUAGCGCGAGCCUUAUUGAAAACGGCCUAGCUAACGAGCAAUCUUUCUAAAGCAAGAAGCAAGGGCGCAGCAGCUGCACGAAGUUGCUUCUUAGGGCAUAUCCGUUUUCUUGCUCGUUAGCGCUUGACUAAUAAGAUAGAAAGAGCC
rnacentral:lncRNA from 1 species